GUUAAGCGGGUGUUAAAAUGCGCAUAUGUUGCCAGGGCUAUUGCAGGCGAGGGCCCAUUUAGGAAGCGGGUUUUUUUCCCGGCCGCUGGCUGCUCUGAAUCCCCCAUAUUAGCACAUUAGCGCACAUGCGGCCGCCUUAUCAGAUUAGCUACACUUGUCACAGAUUAGUUCACCCUGUGAAGGAGCCGCAAAGGUGCUCCUAACAUGACACAACCUCAGGCAUUGGUGGAAACUUCUGUUUUGUGGGGAUUCUGGCAGUCAUCUCUAUGUCAAGUUUUCAAACUGUACCUAGCAAGGUUAUAUAGGUCUGGCUUUUGACCUUGGAGAAAGCAGGCACCUUGUGGUUAAACUUAUUUAAUAGGAUGUUCAGUGAACAUAAGAGAUCUACUUUAACAAGAGAAGAGGGGCAAGAAGAUGUUCAGAGGGCUGGAGCACCUAUCCUAUGAAGACAGGCUGAGAGAGCUGGUGUUGUUCAGCCUGGAGGAGUGAAGGCUUUGGGGAGCCCUUGGAGCACCUUCCAGUACUCAAAGGGGUCCAGCUCAGUAGAGGAAGAAGGGCUUUUCACAAGGGCAUCAAGUGACAGGACAAGAGGUUGUUCAGUAAGAUUUUUGAAAAAUAUGAACAAGGACUUGCCCAGCCAUCUGCAGACCUGUAGGAAUAUAAAAAGAAAGAAGCAAUGAUUUAAAAAGUGCAGCGGAAUGAGCAUCUGACAUCCUAUGACAUGAUAAAUCCUGAAAAUACUUGAACCCACAGAACUUGACCUAGCAGAGAAAGGAGUGACCCUUUCAACUUAAACUGCUGAUCAUAAAAAAAUUCUCCUUUUUACUUGAGACUGCUAUUGAAGAACUGGCUAAGAUUUAGGAGAGAGCAGUUCCUGUGCUGCUUCAGCUUUCUAAGCCAUACCGAGCCAGGUAAUAAUCUGGACAACAGGCAAAACAAUGUUGUGAGAGAUUCCAGUCAGCACACAGCCAUGGAAUCGUUAUGAUUGGAAGAAGUCUCUAAUAUUGAGUCCAACCAUGAACCAUAUAUAAUUUGGUCCAUCUGAAAAUCUGCCUGGAUACCACAAUAGAAGUUCAGUGCUUGGGGCGUUGUUGAAUCUGGGAAGAUAAGGCACAGAAGAGUCAUUCUACUUAGAAUUUUGGAUGAGCAAAAAGAUGAUCUAGUAACAUUUAUUACAUGCUCACAUGAUAUAAAUAUACCAGACAGUUGCAUUUUUCAGUGUACUACAGGAGAAAAAAAACCAACAAAACCACCAAGAAAUAUCUGUGCAGGUCAACUGCAACAAAUAGUUAAAAAAUAAUGUUAAAGAGGAGGAAAAAAAAAGAAAUUGCGAAAAAAAAUUUAUAUCUGAUUCUAAGAUCUUCCAUAACUAAAGUGUGCAACAUGACACAGCAUUGUCUCUACUUGCCUGUGAAGUAUUUAUAGAUUUUGAUAGGGUUUUUUUGCAGCUGUGUUGAACAAUUUUUGAAUGCUGCCACAAUCCAAACACAAGUAACUAUUGCAGUAACAAAACAAUGUGAAUCACUCUCUAAUUUUCUUCCAGCCGGUGUAAUAGCAACUGUGUUAAUCAUUUAAGUGGUUUGCUGUAUUUCCAUCCUUUAUACAGCAGUAUUUAGAAGUGUUCCCAUCACUCUGGCAAGGCACACUGCUGAGUUUAUGUCAUGCCAGUCUUAAAUGGCCAAAUACUAAUUUGAAAACCUAGCAAAAAUGAAUAUUAAGCGAUAUAUAGGUCAGUCACAAUCAUUCAUGGAAAGGCAGGAAAUACGUUACAGCAACAGAGUGUAGUUUUCCCUAACAUUUAGAAAGAGAAGCAAAUAAAUCACUUUCAUGGCAUCUAAGACAUUGCAAAACUGUCUUAGCUGUAACAGCAGCCUGCAGGGCAAUAUUUACUGAUAAUUCUAAUUAUUGUUUUUAUGGGUAUUCAACUUUGGUAUUUCAAUUUCCUUAAAAAUACUCCCCUAAAAGAUUUAAAUUACAAAUUUCUGAUCUUAUACAAUAAUUUCACUAUUAUUAGGAUGUCAGAUCUCA